rnacentral:rRNA from 1 species
ACGGAGGAUCCAAGCGUUAUCCGGAAUCAUUGGGUUUAAAGGGUCCGUAGGCGGUCUUAUAAGUCAGUGGUGAAAUCCCAUCGCUCAACGAUGGAACUGCCAUUGAUACUGUAAGACUUGAAUACUUAGGAAGUAACUAGAAUAUGUAGUGUAGCGGUGAAAUGCUUAGAGAUUACAUGGAAUACCAAUUGCGAAGGCAGGUUACUACUAAUGGAUUGACGCUGAUGGACGAAAGCGUGGGUAGCGAACAGGAUUAGAUACCCUGGUAGUCCACGCCGUAAACGAUGGAUACUAGCUGUUGGGCGCAAGUUCAGUGGCUAAGCGAAAGUGAUAAGUAUCCCACCUGGGGAGUACGUUCGCAAGAAUG